CAAGGAGUGGGCUCUUAAAAGCACAUGCUUGGAGACUGUAUUUUCCAGACAACCACACUGCUGAAAUUAUCAGUCAGGGACUAGAGGACGCACUUGAAUCAUGGGGGCCUUAGUGAGGACCGACAGGUGUGCAUCACAAUGGAUAGUCGGGCAAACAUUGUGAAAGCUGCUGCUCUCGAAGGCUGGACUCGGCUGCCGUGUUUUGGUCACCGGCUGCACUCAGCUAUAGGUAAGUAAAUGACAAGAAAUUUGUUCCAUGUUAUGUUUAGUUUAACUAUAAAAAUAACACAUAUUGGUUACACAUUUUAUUAUUUUACUUUUUUUUUCCUGACACUAUAUCUGUCUGAAACUAUAUCAAGUUUUUGGCUGUCCCUUGGUAACAUUUGAUAAUAGUUCUUGAAUAACAUUUCAAAAAUGUUAACAUUUUGUUUUUAUUGUUCUAGAGUUUUGUAGAUUUUGAUUUUUAAAACCUAAAUAUAUUUUCUUAAUUUAUGUAAACUGUAAUGAUAUAGUGAUCAUAUUAAGAAUUUGUGAUUAAUUUUUAUGUUUUUUACUUUUCUACAGAGGGAAGCAUGAAGGACAAGAG